AAUAUUUCACCACUCUGAAAAUUUUGUUAGGGUAGCUAUGUUUUCACAGUGACUGAGAUUUUCCUCUUCAAGCAUCAAAAGGUAGUAGCCAACAUUUUGAAUAGAAAUCCUCUAAGUAUUUAUCACAUUUUCCCAUGGCUUAUAUGUAUACAAUUUGGCAUAAUGCUUUCUUGAUGACCUUUUAUUAUACACAUAUAUUAUUUUUUGUAUGUUACUACAAAAUGACUGUUGAUACUUACUAAAAUGUAGAAGAUUAUUGAAUCCUGCAUUGAAUUUUUCUUAGAUUUUUAUAGAGUUUCACCUCUUAGUCUUGUCUUACCCUGGUGUUUUUAAUAAGGUAAUUCUGUGACAUUUCCUAUCCUCUUUCUAUUUUGCUAGAAGUUGAGAAACUUAAUUUCUUAGAAUGGUGUUUAAAAUCAGCAUUAAGAGGUCUUGAAUGAGGAUGUGAAGAUUUAUGUGUACAAAAUAUAGGUGUUUUCCAUGAACAGGUAACUCAGAUGGUGAGGUUAAAAAAAAAAAAGCUAUUUUAUAUUGACUUAAGACAAUGUUACAGUGAAUUUGUAGAUUAUGUAACAUACAUAUAUAUAUAUAUAUAUAUAUGUAUAUAUAUACAUACAAAUGGAGAUAGGAUCAAUAUAUUAGAUAGACAGUUGGAAAGACAGAUGGAUACACAGACAGAUGAGAGUGCUCUUAAAAGGUUUUAAAUGGUAAAUAUGAUCCCUCUUGGUUAAUCCAAUCAAGUAUUGACCAAAGUGAUUACAUAUGAAAAGUCAAGAACUUCAGUUUCUGAAGUAUUACUGUGCUUAAUUCUAGACUUGGUUAUUUACCAUAGACAUGACCUUGAAUGGAUUCUACUCUUGCUGUCCUCAGUUUCUUCACCUGCCAAAUAGACCUAAUAACCUCUUCUACACAGGCAUGUUGAAACCAUCACCAGAGAUAACCAGCAUCAAGUUCUUGUUGAGUACAUUGCUGGUGUUCCAUAUCCAUUAAUCUCUUUCUCGGUUCUUCUGUGUGAUUCUACACUUAAAAUGUCACCACCACCAUGAUCAGUACUACUGACCUUGCCCUACAAGACAUUGCUAAAGAGGACCUUUAAUGAAACUGACUUUCAGAUUUUACUUUUUCCCCCCAAGUUAAAUUUUUUUGUUAAGUUUUCACAUUAAAAAAACUAUAGCAAGGUAUAAAUAAUACUUCUUGCUCUGACUAAAAAUAAUUCUGACACUUUAUAUUCUUUUUGAAAAUUUCAGUCCAAUGUGGUGUGAAAUUCUGGGCUGAAAAUCUGCAUUUCUGGUGAAAAUACUUAUUUAACUUAGUGGCACAGAUAAUAUGGAAGGUGGGAAAGAAUUCUAUUU